AAGAGGUUAGUUUAUUAAAAUGUUAAUCCGUCAGAUUAAAGAUAACUUACUGUUAUUUCUUU
rnacentral:tRNA from 1 species